rnacentral:hammerhead_ribozyme from 1 species
AGCCGAAACAGUGGAUUUAUUCCGCUGUCCGUUAGGAUUGGUUAUCUAACGCUGAUGAUGGCAGACCAAG